CCAUUGUGGAUACCCUGGGAGGUCACUGUCCCCAGGCUCUGUCCUAGUGGCAUAGGGGAACAUAUUUGCCCUGCUAUGUGAUGUACAGUCUUUUUCCACAAUGUUGGAGAUAAAGCUGGGCUUUGAGUAUGUGCUUGCAUAUUCCUACGACUUCUCAGAGUCCUGUGAAUGGUGACUGAGGAGACAACCCAUGCAGGAAACAAAA